UACGUAGGUGGCAAGCGUUGUCCGGAAUUAUUGGGCGUAAAGCGCGCGCAGGCGGUCCUCUAAGUCUGAUGUGAAAGCCCACGGCUCAACCGUGGAGGGUCAUUGGAAACUGGGGGACUUGAGUGCAGAAGAGGAGAGUGGAAUUCCACGUGUAGCGGUGAAAUGCGUAGAGAUGUGGAGGAACACCAGUGGCGAAGGCGACUCUCUGGUCUGUAACUGACGCUGAGGCGCGAAAGCGUGGGGAGCAAACAGG
rnacentral:rRNA from 1 species